rnacentral:rRNA from 1 species
AACGCGAAGAACCUUACCAGCUCUUGACAUGGGGAUCGCGGAGAUCAGAGAUGAUUUCCUUCAGUUCGGCUGGAUCCCACACAGGUGCUGCAUGGCUGUCGUCAGCUCGUGUCGUGAGAUGUUGGGUUAAGUCCCGCAACGAGCGCAACCCUCGUCUCUAGUUGCUAACAGGUUUGGCUGAGCACUCUAGAGAGACUGCCGGUGAUAAGCUGGAGGAAGGUGGGGAUGACGUCAAGUCCUCAUGGCCCUUAUGGGCUGGGCUACACACGUGCUACAAUGGCGGCGACAAAGGGCAGCAAAGGGGCAACCCCGAGCGAAUCUCUAAAAGCCGUCUCAGUUCGGAUUGUACUCUGCAACUCGAGUGCAUGAAGUCGGAAUCGCUAGUAAUCGUAGAUCAGCAUGCUACGGUGAAUACGUUCACGGGCCUUGUACACACCGCUGUA